ensembl:lincRNA
CUUUUCCCAUGGCUGGACAUACCAUGGAGCCAGUUAAAAUAAUACUCCUCAUUAAUAAGGUGCUAGUUCAAAUGUCACCUCCUGAAAGAGGGCUUCUCUGACCACCUUAGCCACAGGAAAUACUCUUCACAUAUUAUAUGAGAACCUUAUAACAGUAUACUUCCAUUUCUCCUCUCCAGACCUUUCUGCUGUUGUUAUGCAUUUUACUUAUGCACAUGUUAUAAACUGCAUAAUACAUUUUUUGCUUAGUCACUUUCUAUCCCAUUACCCCAACUUAUUUUGUUAAUACUGUUUGCUACCUGGAAUUAUCUAAUUUAUCUACUUGUUCAUUUUCUGUUUUUUCAACCUAGAAUGCAAAUUGCAAGAGGGCAGAUAAAUGGUUCAUUCUGUUUCUAUUCACCAUUUCAUCGCAGGAAUGGAAGCAUAAUAGGCUCUCAGAACAUUUUUGUUCAGUGUUCAAUUGAUGAACAUAGGAGAGAGCUCAGGCUAACUUGGAAGUCAUUUAUGUGUAAGCACAGGGCAACUGGUUGUUACAGAAAAGAGAACAUUCAAGAAAUCAUGGAGGUGGAAUACAGGAACCUGGGCACCACAUACACAGAUUACGUGUUGCUCCGGGUUCUUUUGCCUUGA